AGUGAACGCUGGCGGUAGGCCUAACACAUGCAAGUCGAACGGCAGCACAGUAAGAGCUUGCUCUUACGGGUGGCGAGUGGCGGACGGGUGAGGAAUACAUCGGAAUCUACUUUUUCGUGGGGGAUAACGUAGGGAAACUUACGCUAAUACCGCAUACGACCUACGGGUGAAAGCAGGGGAUCUUCGGACCUUGCGCGAUUGAAUGAGCCGAUGUCGGAUUAGCUAGUUGGCGGGGUAAAGGCCCACCAAGGCGACGAUCCGUAGCUGGUCUGAGAGGAUGAUCAGCCACACGGGAACUGAGACACGGUCCAGACUCCUACGGGAGGCAGCAGUGGGGAAUAUUGGACAAUGGGCGCAAGCCUGAUCCAGCCAGACCGCGUGUGUGAAGAAGGCCUUCGGGUUGUAAAGCCCUUUUGUUGGGAAAGAAAAGCAGCAGGUUAAUACCCCGCUGUUCUGACGGUACCCAAAGAAUAAGCACCGGCUAACUUCGUG
rnacentral:rRNA from 1 species